ensembl:miRNA
AAGCAGGAGGUGUCAGAAGAGUUACCACAGGGAUAACAGGCUUGUGGUGGGCAAGCGCUCAUAGUGACAUUGCUUUUUGAUCCUUCGA